rnacentral:misc_RNA from 1 species
GAUGAAGAACGCAGCGAAAUGCGAUACGUAAUGUGAAUUGCAGAAUUCAGUGAAUCAUCGAGUCUUUGAACGCACAUUGCGCCCCCUGGUAUUCCGGGGGGCAUGCCUGUCCGAGCGUCAUUGCUGCCCUCAAGCCCGGCUUGUGUGUUGGGCCUCGUCCCCCCUCCGGGGGACGGGCCCGAAAGGCAGCGGCGGCACCGUGUCCGGUCCUCGAGCGUAUGGGGCUUUGUCACCCGCUCUGUAGGCCCGGCCGGCGCCUUAGCCGACGACACAAUCUUUUUUUUCAGGUUGACCUCGGAUCAGGUAGGGAUACCCGCUGAACUUACGCAUAUCAAUAAGCGGAGGA